UCUCAGGUUAUAACCAGGUAAUAACCGGGUUAUAACCAGGUAAUGUCUCAGGUUAUAACUAGGUUAUUACCGGGUUAUAACCAGGUAAUGUCUCAGGUUAUAAC